CCUACGGGAGGCAGCAGUAGGGAAUAUUGCUCAAUGGGGGAAACCCUGAAGCAGCAACGCCGCGUGAGGGAUGAAGGUUUUCGGAUUGUAAACCCCUAUUGUUAGAGAAGAAAAUGACGGUAUCUAACGAAUAAGCACCGGCUAACUACGUGCCAGCAGCCGCGGUAAUACGGAGGGUGCAAGCGUUACUCGGAAUCACUGGGCGUAAAGAGCGCGUAGGCGGGAUAGCAAGUCUGAUGUGAAAUCCUAUGGCUUAACCAUGGAACUGCAUUUGAAACUGUUAUUCUAGAGUGUGGGAGAGGUAGGUGGAAUUCUUGGUGGAGCGGUAAAAUCCGUAGAGAUAAAGAGGAAUACUCAUGGCGAAGGCGACCUGCUGGAACAUAACUGACGCUGAUGCGCGAAAGCGUGGGGAGCAAACAGGAUUAGAUACCCGAGUAGUC
rnacentral:rRNA from 1 species